CCUACGGGUGGCAGCAGUGGGGAAUAUUGGACAAUGGGCGAAAGCCUGAUCCAGCCAUGCCGCGUGUGUGAAGAAGGCCUUCGGGUUGUAAAGCACUUUCAGUGGGGAAGAAAGCCUUGGGGCUAAUACCCUCGAGGAAGGACAUCACCCACAGAAGAAGCACCGGCUAACUCCGUGCCAGCAGCCGCGGUAAUACGGAGGGUGCGAGCGUUAAUCGGAAUUACUGGGCGUAAAGCGCGCGUAGGCGGUCUGAUAAGCCGGUUGUGAAAGCCCCGGGCUCAACCUGGGAACGGCAUCCGGAACUGUCAGGCUAGAGUGCAGGAGAGGGAGGUAGAAUUCCCGGUGUAGCGGUGAAAUGCGUAGAGAUCGGGAGGAAUACCAGUGGCGAAGGCGGCCUUCUGGACUGACACUGACGCUGAGGUGCGAAAGCGUGGGUAGCAAACAGGAUUAGAUACCCUGGUAGUC
rnacentral:rRNA from 1 species